AGCAUAUCAAUAAGCGGAGGAAAAGAAACUAACAAGGAUUCCCUUAGUAACUGCGAGUGAAGAGGGAAAAGCUCAAAUUUAAAAUCUGGCAGUGUUUCACUGUCCGAGUUGUAACCUAGAGAAGUGUAACCUGCGCUGGACCGUGUAUAAGUCUCCUGGAAUGGAGCAUCACAGAGGGUGAGAAUCCCGUCUUUGACAUGGACCACCAGUGCAUUGUGGUUGUGCUCUCAACGAGUCGAGUUGUUUGGGAAUGCAGCUCUAAAUGGGUGGUAAAUUCCAUCUAAAGCUAAAUAUUGGCGAGAGACCGAUAGCGAACAAGUACCGUGAGGGAAAGAUGAAAAGAACUUUGGAAAGAGAGUUAAACAGUAUGUGAAAUUGUUGAAAGGGAAACGUUUGAAGUCAGUCGCGUUGGUUGGGGAUCAGCCUGACAUUGUUGGGUUUACUUCCUGGUUGACGGGCCAACAUCAGUUUUGACUGCCAGAAAAAGGCCAAAGGAAUGUGGCACCUUUGGGUGUGUUAUAGCCCUUGGUCGUAUAUGGUGGUUGGGACUGAGGAAAGCAGCGUGCCGAAAGGCCGGGUUUCGACCACGUUCACGCUGAGGAUGUUGGCAUAAUGGCUUUAAGCGACCCGUCUUGAAACACGGACCAAGGAGUCUAACAUGCAUGCGAGUGUUUGGGUGGAAAACCCUUACGCGUAAUGAAAGUGAAAGUUGAGAUCCCUGUCGCGGGGAGCAUCGACGCCCGGACCAGAACUUUUGGGACGGAUCUGCGGUAGAGCACGUAUGUUGGGACCCGAAAGAUGGUGAACUAUGCCUGAAUAGGGUGAAGCCAGAGGAAACUCUGGUGGAGGCUCGUAGCGAUUCUGACGUGCAAAUCGAUCGUCAAAUUUGGGUAUAGGGGCGAAAGACUAAUCGAACCAUCUAGUAGCUGGUUCCUGCC
rnacentral:rRNA from 1 species